AUUGAACGCUGGCGGCAUGCCUUACACAUGCAAGUCGAACGGUAGAGGGGCAACCCUCGAGAGUGGCGAACGGGUGAGUAAAGCAUCGGAACGUACCCAGUUGUGGGGGAUAGCCCGGCGAAAGCCGGAUUAAUACCGCAUACGCACUGAGGUGGAAAGCGGGGGACUCGCAAGGGCCUCGCGCAAUUGGAGCGGCCGAUGUCAGAUUAGGUAGUUGGUGGGGUAAAGGCCUACCAAGCCGACGAUCUGUAGCUGGUCUGAGAGGAUGACCAGCCACACUGGGACUGAGACACGGCCCAGACUCCUACGGGAGGCAGCAGUGGGGAAUUUUGGACAAUGGGCGCAAGCCUGAUCCAGCCAUGCCGCGUGCGGGAAGAAGGCCUUCGGGUUGUAAACCGCUUUUGUCAGGGAAGAAAUCUUCUGGGUUAACACCUCGGGAGGAUGACGGUACCUGAAGAAUAAGCACCGGCUAACUACGUGCCAGCCGCCGCAGUAAUAC
rnacentral:rRNA from 1 species